rnacentral:pre_miRNA from 1 species
AGUGGAAUUGCUGAGUUAUAUGGUAACCAUGUUUAACUUUUUUGAGAAACUGCCAAACUGUUUUCCAAAGUGGCUACAUCAUUUUAUAUUCCCACCAGCAAU